rnacentral:rRNA from 1 species
AGCGAACGCUGGCGGCAGGCUUAACACAUGCAAGUCGAGCGGGCACUUUCGGGUGUCAGCGGCGGACGGGUGAGUAACGCGUGGGAACGUGCCCUCUGGUUCGGAAUAACUCAGGGAAACUUGAGCUAAUACCGGAUACGCCCUUUUGGGGAAAGGCUUGCUGCCGGAGGAUCGGCCCGCGUCUGAUUAGCUAGUUGGUGAGGUAACGGCUCACCAAGGCGACGAUCAGUAGCUGGUCUGAGAGGAUGAUCAGCCACACUGGGACUGAGACACGGCCCAGACUCCUACGGGAGGCAGCAGUGGGGAAUAUUGGACAAUGGGCGCAAGCCUGAGCCAGCCAUGCCGCGUGAGUGAUGAAGGCCUUAGGGUUGUAAAGCUCUUUUAUCCGGGACGAUAAUGACGGUACCGGAGGAAUAAGCCCCGGCUAACUUCG